AGUCGUAACAAGGUUUCCGUAGGUGAACCUGCGGAAGGAUCAUUACCGAGUGAGGGCCCUCUGGGUCCAACCUCCCACCCGUGUUUAUUUUACCUUGUUGCUUCGGCGGGCCCGCCUUUACUGGCCGCCGGGGGGCUCACGCUCCCGGGCCCGCGCCCGCCGAAGACACCCCCGAACUCUGUCUGAAGAUUGCAGUCUGAGUGAAAACGAAAUUAUUUAAAACUUUCAACAACGGAUCUCUUGGUUCCGGCAUCGAUGAAGAACGCAGCGAAAUGCGAUACGUAAUGUGAAUUGCAAAUUCAGUGAAUCAUCGAGUCUUUGAACGCACAUUGCGCCCCCUGGUAUUCCGGGGGGCAUGCCUGUCCGAGCGUCAUUGCUGCCCUCAAGCCCGGCUUGUGUGUUGGGCCCCGUCCCCCGAUCCCGGGGGACGGGCCCGAAAGGCAGCGGCGGCACCGCGUCCGGUCCUCGAGCGUAUGGGGCUUUGUCACCCGCUCCGUAGGCCCGGCCGGCGCCUGCCGAUCAACCCCAAAUUUUUAAUCCAGGUUGACCUCGGAUCAGGUAGGGAUACCCGCUGAACUUAAGCAUAUCA
rnacentral:misc_RNA from 1 species